GGGAAAAGCUCAAAUUUUAAAUCUGCUAGGUUUUACCUGUCAGAAUUGUAAUUUGAAGAAGCGUCUUCUGUGUUGGACCGUGUACAAGUCUCUUGGAACAGGGCGUCAUAGAGGGUGAGAAUCCCGUCUUUGACACGGUCUACCAAUGCUUUGUGAUGCGCUCUUAAA
rnacentral:rRNA from 1 species